CUAAAUCGUUUGACUGAUAUGACAGUUCAUUGAAAGUGCUUAUUGUAUAGUUGACAAAGACAGCUGCAGCAAUUGUUAACGCCUUCAUUUCCCAACGGUGUUGUUUCUAUUGGUAAAGUGCAUCGUCCCUCAUUAACGAUCCAAAGAAGAUGAUCCCAGUGGCAGUGGAAGGUAAGUUUCUCUGCACCAGCCAGGAAAUGCAUGAGACAAACGUAAGUAUUACACAACCCUAAGACAGCCAACUAUUUAUCCAGCUGAAUAGAAUAAUGAAUUUCUGGUGCUAAAUCAUAGCCUUGGAAUACAUUUCAAUCCCCAACAAACAAUAACAUUGAAUGCUCAAACAUUUAAUUUCUUGAAAUCUGAAGAAUCUAGGACUUGGCUAGCAGAGGGCGCAGUCAAUGUGGAAAUUAUGAAUAACAGGAAACAAAAUGCUGAGUCACAGAGGCAGCAAAAUUCCACAUCAGUAAUUAUCUUGUUGUUUAUGUCAUGGGUACAACUGUUUAUAGACCACAAUGAAACAGGCGAACAGAGAUUAUAGUAGACUUCUAUAAAUACCCAUGAGCUUUUUUUAAAGAUAUUAUAUAUUUCUUGAUGACAUUCAAAUUCAACAAACCCUGCCAGGAACAUUUCGUGGAAAUUCAGAUCAUAUCAAAACUUUUUUUAAUAAGCAACGAUAAUUCCCUUUCAGCUUUCUAAUAUCCAGACGUGACACAUGGGGGAAGCUCAGGAGGUAGAGCUAGUUCGACCCCCGGUUCCUCCUAGCUGAUUGUUGAGGUAUCCCUGAGCAAGACACCUAACCUUGUAAGUUGCUUUGGACAAAAGCGUCUUGUGAAUGCCCUAAAUAUAAACAAAAAAUAUGGGGUGGGUGUGCCUUAGCCUCUAUAUGGAUAGAAGUGAACAGAAAAUGCUAAAAUAGGGAAAAGUUUGUGUCUCACAGUCAACAAAAUAAGCACAAUUCUGUCAUAUUUCAUAGUGAAUAAUGUUAAGCCUAAAAUCGUCCUGUAACUUCAACAAAUUUAUACAGAAAAAAUGAUUAGUUAAUUAUUAGGAACGCAGGCUGGAACAGUGCUGUGUUUGUGUACUUUAGGCAGGGCAACCAGAACAGGAAGUACAAAAAUGGCUAUUUUCCAGGGUCACAUGGUUAAAGUCUGCCAUUUCAUACGAGCUGCAUUCGUAUCUACUCCGGCAUUACACAUAAUCUGCAGGGAAAUUACACCAGGGUUAUGUUUUUGAGACAAAAAUAGUGCUUCCUUGAAGAUACCUUACAAAAGAGCCCUUUGAUGGUGUAAAUCUGAAUGCCGAAAUGUCUUGGAUGUUAUACAAACGGUCAUGUGCCUUUAAAACCAGAGGAUUUAGGGGUGAUCGCCGAGACACAGACAGCUGGGAGAGUCGCAGACAGAGGAUCCAGGGUGUAUGUGUGUGUGUCUCGCUCGAGUUGGAGGAAAGAAGGACAGCAGAGAGAGGGAGAGAGGAGAGAGAGAGACCCAAUUAGAAGGAGCGUGAGGGGGGAAAUGGGGACACGGCCGCGUCACAGAGCAGAGAAAAGGAAGCCAUGGUAGUAGGUUCCCGUUAACUUGAGCUCUGCAUGCGCUCAGUCUGCCUGUUUGGCAGCUAGCAAGUGGGAUACCAGAACUGGUUGAAGUCGUGUUUAUGUCAGCACAAAGAUCUGAAAAUUAAAUGCUGCGUCACACUUGGGAAGAGGAAUAGGUUGAUAAUGCAUGCGCAUGCCCAACUGUGUGUUUGUGUGUGUGUGUGUGUGUGUGUGUGUGUGUGUGUGUGUGUGUGUGUGUGUGUGUGUGUGUGUGUGUGUGUGUGUGUGUGUGUGUGUGUGUGUGUGUGUGUGUGUGUGUGUGUGUGUGUGUGUGUGUGUGUGUGUGUGUGUGUGACUUGGCGCCGGGCUGUUGGUGAGCUAUGUGUGAUCAGAAUGAGUGGUGUUUACAUGGGUAUCGGUUUGGAGCAGCAUUCUAAGAGCAGCAACAUGGUUGUUACAACAAGAUGAACAUCGAGUGUGCCUGUUUUUCAAAGGCAAGGGGAGGAAAGAGAGAGGGAGGCAGGCAGGAGAUAGAGCGAGUGAAGGGAGAGCAGGUCAGGGAGUGAGAGAGAAACAGAGAGGGAGAUAGAUUGUGGAUUAGUUGCUACGUCACUUUUUCACGUCGGGGGGUAAACAGAAGCUAACAUUACAGAAGCUCGGAGUCAUCGAGUUCCUCCACCUGAGAGUGGACGCAACGCUUUUUCCGACAUCCUCCUCCUCUUCAUCCUCCUUGUCGGUAGUUUUGCUCUCUUUGCCUGUCGCUAUUGUGUGUGUGUGUGUGUGUGUGUGUGUGUGUGUGUGUGUGUGUGUGUGUGUGUGUGUGUGUGUGUGUGUGUGUAAGUGUGUGUGUGUGUGUGUGUGUGUGUGUGUGUGUGUGUGUGUGUGUGUGUGUGUGUGCUGCCUCUGCUCUGCCUGUGAGCUGGAUUCAGGAGUUUCACAUGGAUGCAGUAGAAGAGUGUUGUUUAGAUGUGCUAGCUAGGUGCAUAUCGAGGAUGGGCACAAGUGCAGCAGAGGGGUUAACAUCAGAACAUUCUGGAGGGUUCUUGUUGUCGAGGCGAAGCAAAUUCAGGAAUGUUUUGCAGGGAAUCAGAGGUAACCGAGUGAUGCUGUUUUGCCACAAUCGAUGUAUUUGAUGCAAAAGCUAUAUUUUAAAUCAAUUGCAGUCUAGUGCACAAUGCGCUCUGAUUGAAGGGAUAUUAUGAAAGGUGUAUGCUGGUCUUUAUGUGAUAUCGGAGUAUAAAUAGGUGCGAGGUAGAGGUAAACAUCACGGUAUUGUAGCAAAUGACGCCUUUUUUUCUUUGACAUUAAGCCUGGAGGAUUUGGACAUGUUGCUACGCAACAAUUAUACGGACAUUUAUAUAAUGCUGUUUUACCUGUGGUUCAUUCUUGAUUGAGUUCAAGGGCAGCCAAGAGAGUGCAGAGAAACACACAUUUGUACAUUUAUUCUACACCCAGCUUGCCAGUAUUUGAUCUGGAAACAAACGUAUUCUGAGUGUGUGGCUCGUGAUACUUGUGUCAUAAGGUUGUUUUUUCAUGUCUCACAGGGCCACCGGGACUGGCUGAAGCCCUUCCCAGGACACAUUUGUUUCUGCGUAGUUAGGAGAGACAGAGGCUGGUGACGCAGUCAUUUCUGGGCUGGACUUGUACCAGUACAUGGCUUGUAGCCCUAUCUCUGCCCUACCGCCCUCUCUCUUUGUCUGUCUCUCUCUCUCUCUCUCUCUCUCUCUCUCUCUCUCUCUCUCUCUCUCUCUCUCUCUCUCUCUCUCUCUCUCUCUCUCUCUCUCUCUCUCUCUCUCUCUCUCUCUUUCUUUGAAAAAGGAAGGACUAAAACAGGCAAAAUGUCAUGGCUCAUGAUCAGAGACAAAGAGGGAAGAAGGGAGAAGAGUUGUUUACCUUGCAUGCUUUGGUGACUCUGCACUGGCAACUCUCCAAUUCACUGUACUUCCUAAAGCUGCUGCCUCGCAAGCCUUUGAGCAAAAGCAGAAUUCUCAUUGGCUAGGAGGAUUUCAUUUGGCUGCAAAAGCAGUACUGGAUUGGCCAGGCCCAAGCUCACAUCCAGAAUGCAAUAAUCUGAUUGGUUGUACGUUUCAAGUAACAAUGGCUGCUUGGGUUAUUAAAGUAAAUGGACUGUAGUAAGGGUUAUUGAGCGCUGAGCUAGUGAAGUUAACAGACAAUGCGAACAGCGUACAUUGUUCAACUGUUUUUGAUAAUAACGUCCUUCGAUGCAGACGACGGUACAGUCGCCAACAAAACUAACUUAAUUAAACUUCUAAUUAGUACUAAUAUUUACUUUAGCAGCGGCUUCCGCUGUGAAGGCCAAUCCCACAGCCUAUCAGAGGUAGCAAGCACCUUAGAGCCCACCCAGCCUCGAGGACUCCUUCUCUGUGCUUUUGGGAGAGACAUGCUGAAUAAAUACAUCAUGUUUUCAAACUCAAAAAUAAUUGUUUGAAUAAUCGUGAUUUCAAUAUUGACCAAAACAAUCGCGAUUAUGAUUUUUUCCAUAAUCGAGCAGCCCUAGUCCUUUCCUAGUCCAUGCCUACUUAAGUCAAGCGUUGCCUAACAAUGGUCUGCAUUGAGUGUUCAUCUUUUUAAGAUCUGGUUUUUCGAGUUGUUUCUUCAUUUCAAUUUGGUUUACGAAACCCUACCAACUUUCAGAGUGAGUGGUUAAAACAUAUUAGAGAAGUAAUACUCUAAUAAUAAAUGUAUCGAUACGUAUUAAAAUGAGCAGAUUUGUAACAUGUUGGUGCUACUAUGCAUUCAAUGGAAAAAAACGUAAAAUUAUGUGAUAUUCUGAAUGUUGCUGUGUAAAAUAUUGGGGGGGUUCUGAGGUUAACUCUGUACACGUUGAAAGCAUUGGACAGAGACGUAGACCAUGAUCAGACACUGCUUACUUACAGCCACAUAAACACAACCUCAUCACAGGCCACCAUCGGGUCACCAGGAAUUGACCAAGAUGUGGCUUUGGUCUACAUCAUCAUGUCAUGUCUCAGGGGACUUGGCGGUUCUCGAUUGUUAUAAUCAAAGUGACUCUGAGCCACAGAGUCAGUUGGUGGUAUUCUCACCAUGGAGAGAAAGUUCCCAGUUUACCUAGGAACACCCGGGGCAGCAAGCCCAUCAGUACAAUAAAAUGGAGGAAGAAAAGAGAAUGUUCAGGAAGGAGUAGUGUUAGCUAGCGUAGGCACCUUGCAGACACAAUACCUGGCUGCUUUGUAGUUGGGCGGAAGUAGCUCUGGAGGUAGAGUGGAUUAAAUGUUAACCGGAAGGUUGCUAAUUCGAUCCCCGGAGUGUUGAGUUGACACUGAGCAAGACGCCUCACCCCGACUACUCCUGGCAAGCUGGCCGCCGCACUGUGUUGUUGAACUCGCAGCGGGGGAGUCGGGAGCCACUGCCACCGUCGCUCCGCCCCAGCCGCGCAGAGGAAGAGGGAGAUGGCUUACAUGAGCGAGGGCCGGUUGGGGCGCUCUGCUCAGAUAUACAGCAGUACCACACCCAUGACUAGUAUAAUGCUAGCAUAAAAAAUCGGACUGAAGAUUCAGCUCGGAAGUCUUAUAGCAGAAUCUAAUAGCCACGAGAGGCUGAGGAUCCUGGGCCUGUAUCACUGGAUGAUGGUAUUAAGUCUCUGGGGAGCUAGCACUUAGGUUGGAGUCUGAUGAUCUGUUUGUUUGCGUCACCGGUGGAACCGACCCUCAGAAAUACUCCCCUUGGAAGCUGGUUUCCGAUGGUGGCUUAGAGUGCGGUCCUCCAUCUAGCACCAUUUGAAAUCAGUGUUCUUGUGGUGGGAUGUGAACUUCUCCCACAGAUGCUGGAUGCGUGCCAGCAACACUGCAUCACACUUGGUGGGAGGGGAGGAAAACGGGAUUUCAUCACCCAGGAAGUGUCACCCACCCCUUACGAACGGGCCGGAGGGACAGUUAGCAGUGGCGCAGUUGCAGUCGCAGUGACUCAGUAGCAGUGACUUAUGAUGUGUUCCAGAUGCCUCUUACACCACCCGCACGAGUUGCUCUUGUGGCGUAAUUUCCUGGCUUGUAACACUUAUAGCGUUCCUGUUUGUCUUUGUGAUUGCGUCAUGUCAUUGGCUAGUCAUUGUUAGCCACAUUAGCCUCUCUAGCAAACCAGCUAGAAGAAAAACACAACUUUACAUUGUAUUUCACGCACAGCAAGACCGUGCAAUGCAUAAAUUGAUGACCGGAAUAACGAAGAAAUUUAAUCAAGUGUGUAAGAGCAUUUAAAAUCGACAUUAAAAUGACCAACGUGUUACGAAUACAAAGAAAAUAAAUCCAAUUUUUGGACCAGCCAUUUUUGUUGUCGAGUUGUACGGUCAACCUCACUGAACUCUGUAUACUCUCAGAAUCGACCAAAACUUUUGGUCGGUCCCAGGUCAAAUGCCGCAAGAAAGCUGGGAGAUUACCCCAUUUGCAACUCGUUCGGCUGGUGUACGAGGCAUCUGGAACACACCAUCAGUUAGCGUGAGGCAGUUAGCCAUGACUCAGUUAGCCAUGGCACAGUAGCAGUGACUCAGUUAGCAGUCAUUCAGCUAGCCAUGGCACAGUAGCAGUGACUCAGUAGCAUUGACUCAGUAGCAGUGACGCAGUUAGCAUUAAGCAGUAGCAUUGACUCAGUAGCAGUGACGCAGUUACCAUUGACGCAGUAGCAUUGACUCAGUAGCAGUGAUGCAGUUAUCAUUGACGCAGUAGCAUUGACUCAGUAGCAGUGACGCAGUUACCAUUGACGCAGUAGCAUUGACUCAGUAGCAGUGAUGCAGUUAUCAUUGACGCAGUAGCAGUGACUCAGUAGCAGUGACGCAGUUAACAUUGACGCAGUAGCAGUGACGCAGUUGGCAUUGACACAGUAGCAGUGACACAGUUAGCAGUGCAAGCUUAAGGUCCUCUUUUCCAAGGUUGACUGAUUUCUUUCGGUGUUCAGAGUCUUCUUGUGUUUCUAGCACCAUUUGAAAUCGGUUACAAUGAAGGAUACCUCAUCGGGAGGGUGAGCUCCUCUGCGGCGGGCCCGUGGGCAGACUGGGGUUGGGCAGAAGGGAUUAAAAAGGGGCCCUAGUUCUAAGAUCACUAGUUCUCUUCAAUUGAACUAGCAGGGCUUUAGUGCAACUGAAUGUAUUGGGCUAAUGGCCAAGAAGCAUUCAUCUGAAAUAUUUUAUUUUUAAGCGUUAUACAGGAAUGUAAUGUUUGGUAUUCAUACGUGAUGAAUGAAAAUUAAAUGCUGAAUGGAUUAUAAAAAUUGUAAUCCAUUUGUUGACCGAUAUUAAAGACUCAGAAUCACUAACUACAUUUCAUACUCAAACAGAGAGUACAGUAACACAGAACGUGGACGGAAGUACUUUAAUCAUUUUUAUAAUUUCAAGCUCAUGUUCAUAUCAAAUGGUUGUCAAGGCACAAUGAAAUACAAUGCUAAUAAAUUAUGGAUAUUACUAAUGCAGUUGACCAUUUUGAUAGAUAUUUUUAAAUGGCGUCAAUAGAUUUAUUUCGCUUUUCAAAUUUUGUCACAUUUAGAAUGUGGAAAAUCGAUAGCAAACGAUUGGAACACAAUGAUCAGAGGCUUCAGAUUUGAUCUGCACACAUAUUUAUACCUCAUUUCAAUUAUUUACAAGCACAGAAUGUUAAUUCCAUGGCGCUACGGCCCCAGCAAAGCCUAUAAGUGCAAAUUGUCAAAAAAUACAUACCUCAAACAUUGGGCGAUGAUUAAUUUCAAAUAAAUAUAAAUGUUUUAUCUCCACAUUUAGAGAUUUGAGUGGGGGACCACAGGAAAAAAAACAUUUUAUUUUACAUUCACACAUCCAACCCAAUAACGUCAACUCCACAACUAAACAACAACCCAUUGGUUAAAAACAAGCCCCUCCAAAGAGGGCUUGUUUAAUUCAUCUGCUUACAACCAUAAAUUGGGUUCAAAACGACCAAGGCCAAAUAGACCAACCAAGAACGAGUAGCAAUACAAAACGGCUCCAUUUUAUUUUCUUAACAAAAAUCAAUCUACAAUAAGGUUUACAAUACAGGGUUGAUGGCAAAGUAAUCAACCAAAUAAUUGUACUUUUGGCAGCAAAUGCAGCCAGAAAUGUUUCUAUCAAACGCAUUGACCUUUUCUCAAAACUUAAAACGUGGCAAAUAAACAUGUUGAAGGUGGAAGAUAAAUAAAUAAUUGAAUGCAACACUAUCAAUCUAAUACAGCAUUAAUUCAGAAGCAUUCAUUGGAGUAAGCUAUGCUUAAGCCAAAGCAAUAUGAUUUUGUGAUCGAUGUCCUUCAGAUGCCAAGUGAACAGAUUCCAGAUUGAUUAGAAAAGCA